NUCAAAGAAAGGAGAUUUUAACUCCCACCCCUGGCUCCCAAAGCCAGGAUUUUUAGUUAAACUAUUCUUU
rnacentral:tRNA from 1 species